GACGAACGCUGGCGGCGUGCUUAACACAUGCAAGUCGAACGGAAAGGCCCUUCGGGGUCCUCGAGUGGCGAACGGGUGAGUAACACGUGGGUGAUCUGCCCUGCACUUUGGGAUAAGCCUGGGAAACUGGGUCUAAUACCGAAUAUGAUCAUCGGCUUCAUGGUCGGUGGUGGAAAGCUUUUGCGGUGUGGGAUGGGCCCGCGGCCUAUCAGCUUGUUGGUGGGGUAAUGGCCUACCAAGGCGACGACGGGUAGCCGGCCUGAGAGGGUGACCGGCCACACUGGGACUGAGAUACGGCCCAGACUCCUACGGGAGGCAGCAGUGGGGAAUAUUGCACAAUGGGCGCAAGCCUGAUGCAGCCACGCCGCGUGAGGGAUGACGGCCUUCGGGUUGUAAACCUCUUUCAGCACAGACGAAGCGAAAGUGACGGUAUGUGCAGAAGAAGGACCGGCCAACUACGUG
rnacentral:rRNA from 1 species